AACGAACGCUGGCGGCAUGCCUAACACAUGCAAGUCGAACGAGACCUUCGGGUCUAGUGGCGCACGGGUUCGUAACGCGUGGGAACCUGCCCUUAGGUUCGGAAUAACUCCCCGAAAGGGGUGCUAAUACCGGAUAAUGUCUUCGGACCAAAGAUUUAUCGCCUUUGGAUGGGCCCGCGUUGGAUUAGCUAGUUGGUAGGGUAAAAGCCUACCAAGGCGACGAUCCAUAGCUGGUCUGAGAGGAUGAUCAGCCACACUGGGACUGAGACACGGCCCAGACUACUACGGGAGGAAGCAGUGGGGAAUAUUGGAAAAUGGGCGAAAGCCUGAUCCAGCAAUGCCGCGUGAGUGAUGAAGGCCUUAGGGUUGUAAAGCUCUUUUACCCGGGAUGAUAAUGACAGUACCGGGAGAAUAAGCUCCGGCUAACUCCGUG
rnacentral:rRNA from 1 species